CGUCCACCUGCUUAGGAGGAGAUAGACAAUACGCUUUUUACAAACCACCAUUGAGCACCGGUGGAGAGAGUGUCGGAAAGCAGCUAUGUUAGAAAGGCCCAUUUGCUCUCAGCCGUGCCCUCCAUUGCUCUAGAGGUGGAAGGUACAAAGCACUGCCUCCAUCCUUCAAUGGGAGACAAGCCAUAAACUGUCUUGCCUCCAGCUCUUUAGGAAGCUGACAAACAACUCGCUUUCCACAGUCCUGUUACAGCAUACCAGGAACUUCUCAUACAAAGGCAGCUCAAAUGGCAUUUCUUCCCAUCCCUUAACUCGCAGCUUUAGGACUUCUGCUUCUGCCACAAUUCCACCUUGCCAACCCGGCUCAGACAAAAUGCCUACAUCUUCCCCUUAAGCAACUGGGCUGAGUCCCAAAUGAUUGUGCAACCAUGUGCUUAGCAGGAGAUAGACAAUACGCUUUUCACCAACCACAGUUGAGCACUGGUGGAGAGAGUGUCGGAAAGCACCUAUGUCAGAAAGGCCCCUUUCUUCUCAGCCUUGCCCUCCAUUGCUCUAGAAAUGGAAUGCACAAUGCAUUGGCUCAAACCCUCAAGGGACGACAAGCCACAGACCAUCUUUCUUCCAUCUCUUUAGGAAGCUGAGAACAAACUCACCUGAUGUAUAAAAAGGAAUCAAGCCCCUUAGAUGCCAGAAAACCCCCGGAGACAUGCCAAAAACACCCUGCCCGCACUCUCAAAC
rnacentral:lncRNA from 1 species